CAGCACGGUGUAGCAAUACACUGGUGGCGACCGGCGCACGGGUGCGUAACGCGUAUGCAACUUACCUAUCAGAGGGGGAUAACCCGGCGAAAGUCGGACUAAUACCGCAUGAUAUCUCUAGAAGACAUCUGAAAGAGAUUAAAGAUUUAUCGGUGAUGGAUGGGGAUGCGUCUGAUUAGCUUGUUGGCGGGGUAACGGCCCACCAAGGCAACGAUCAGUAGGGGUUCUGAGAGGAAGGUCCCCACAUUGGAACUGAGACACGGUCCAAACUCC
rnacentral:rRNA from 1 species